GACGAACGCUGGCGGCGUGCUUAACACAUGCAAGUCGAACGGAAAGGCCCUGCUUUUGUGGGGUGCUCGAGUGGCGAAAGGGUGAGUAUCACGUGAGUAACCUGCCCUUGACUUUGGGAUAACCCCAGGAAACUGGGGCUAAUACCGGAUAGGAGCUCCUGCUGCACGGUGGGGGUUGGAAAGAUUCGGAGGUUUGGAAUGGACUGGCGGCUUAUCAUCUUGUUGGCUGGGUAGUGGCUUACCAAGGCUUUGACGGGUAGCCGGCCUGGGAGGGUGACCGGCCACAAUGGGACUGGGAGACGGCCAAGAGUGCUACGGGAGGCAGCAGGGGGAAAUAUUGCACAAUGGGCGGAAGCCGGAUGGAACAACGCCGGGUGCGGGAUGACGGCUUGCGGGUUGUAAACCGCUUUCGCCUGUGACGAAGCGUGAGUGACGGUAAUGAGUAAAGAAGCACCGGCUAACUACGUG
rnacentral:rRNA from 1 species